UCUUAAUUUUUUUUAUUAUUUUUAACCGUAACUGCAUCAAAAUUAACAGUUAUCUCUUUAAAAACAAGCUGAGUACUUUGUUUUCAGCAGUCCCCAUAGCGGUUUGUUUUGAUCGGCAUAUGCUUAUAGACUGUUCACAGAAAUGCACAAAUUAGUACAGGUAUAUCAUCACAUGACCUCUAAAAGCCAAAAUCUGAUUUAUCAGUUCUGUGCCGCA